rnacentral:rRNA from 1 species
AUGAACAAAUUGUGUAUCACUAAAGAGGGCUUUUCAGGUAAAUACUUGGGACUACCAGUAUACAUUGGCAAAUCCAAGACCAAGGCUUUCCACUACCUGAAAGAAAAGAUAUGGAGCAAAUUGCAAGGUUGGAAAGAAAAAAUGCUCUCAAAAGCUGGAAAGGAGAUUUUGAUCAAGGCGGCUGCGCAAGCAAUACCAGUCUAUGCAAUGGCAUGCUUCGACCUCACAAAAUCAUUGUGUGACGACAUCAAUGCAAUGAUAGCUCGGUAUUGGUGGAGCCAUAUGGAUAAAGAAAAUAAAAUUCAUUGGGUUAGCUGGGAAAAAAUGACAAAGCCUAAAAAGGAUGGUGGAUUGGGAUUUAGAGAUCUAUACUGUUUUAACCUUGCCAUGCUGGCGAGGCAAGCUUGGAGAAUUCUAAAGAAUCCCACAUCACUAUGUGCACAAGUCCUAGCGGCAAAAUACUUUCGAGAUCGAAACUUGCUGGAUGCCGAGGCAAGAAAUGGAAUAUCCUACUGUUGGAGGAGCAUCUUAAAAGGGGUACAGGUGCUAAAGAGCGGGGUGGUGUGGAGAGUAGGAGAUGGAGAAAGUAUAAAUAUUUGGACUGAUCAUUGGCUCCCAAAGGGAAAAUCAAGGCUGGUCAGUUCAAGGAGGGGAAAUCAAAUCAUAACAAAAGUCGCAGAGUUGAUUGACCCAUCCUCCUACACUUGGGAUGAGGAACUUGUACGACAAACCUUUAAUGAAGAAGAUGCCCGGGCAAUUCUUCAAAUCCCAAUACAUGAAGGGCAAGAGGACUAUGUGGCGUGGCAUUUUGACAAAAAAGGGAAGUUCUCAGUAAAAUCAGCAUAUCAAGUAGUGCUUGAGAGUCAAGCAAGGGAAUCAGAUAAAAGCAUCCCUUCUACUUCUUACUGCCCUUAG